rnacentral:piRNA from 1 species
UAAAUGAUUUGUCCCAUCUAGGCCC